rnacentral:tRNA from 1 species
GGGGUGGUGGCGCAGUUGGCUAGCGCGUAGGUCUCAUAGCUGGGACCUGGGAGUGAUCCUGAGGUCGAGAGUUCGAGCCUCUCUCACCCUA